rnacentral:rRNA from 1 species
UACUAAGGGGGCUAGCGUUGCUCGGAAUCACUGGGCGUAAAGGGUGCGUAGGCGGGUCUUUAAGUCAGGGGUGAAAUCCUGGAGCUCAACUCCAGAACUGCCUUUGAUACUGAGGAUCUUGAGUUCGGGAGAGGUGAGUGGAACUGCGAGUGUAGAGGUGAAAUUCGUAGAUAUUCGGAAGAACACCAGUGGCGAAGGCGACUCACUGGACAUGUAUUGACGCUGAGGUACGAAAGCGUGGGGAGCAAACAGG